rnacentral:rRNA from 1 species
GACGAACGCUGGCGGCGUGCUUAACACAUGCAAGUCGAACGGAAAGGCCCUGCUUUUGUGGGGUGCUCGAGUGGCGAACGGGUGAGUAACACGUGAGUAACCUGCCCUUGACUUUGGGAUAACUUCAGGAAACUGGGGCUAAUACCGGAUAGGAGCUCCUGCUGCAUGGUGGGGGUUGGAAAGUUUCGGCGGUUGGGGAUGGACUCGCGGCUUAUCAGCUUGUUGGUGGGGUAGUGGCUUACCAAGGCUUUGACGGGUAGCCGGCCUGAGAGGGUGACCGGCCACAUUGGGACUAAGAUACGCCCCAGAGUCCUACGGGAGGCAGCAGUGGAGAGUAUUGCACAAUGAGGCGAAGCCUGAUGCAGCGGCGCCGCGUGCGGGAUGACGGCCUUCGGGUUGUAAACCGCUUUCGCCUGUGACGAAGCGUGAGUGACGGUAAUGGGUAAAGAAGCACCGGCUAACUACGUG